UAAUGAUGAUUACGAUGAUGAUGAUGAUGAUGAUGAUGAUGAUGUGAUGACAAUGACAUUUUCAUCAUUGUCACUAUCAUCAUUAUCAAUUUUC
rnacentral:pre_miRNA from 1 species